CAGUCGCCGCGGGAAUACGAAGGGUGCAAGCGUUACUCGGAAUUACUGGGCGUAAAGCGUGCGUAGGUGGUGGUUUAAGUCCGUUGUGAAAGCCCUGGGCUCAACCUGGGAAUUGCAGUGGAUACUGGGUCACUAGAGUGUGGUAGAGGAUAGUGGAAUUUCCGGUGUAGCAGUGAAAUGCGUAGAGAUCGGAAGGAACAUCUGUGGCGAAGGCGACUAUCUGGGCCAACACUGACACUGAGGCACGAAAGCGUGGGGAGCAAACAGGAUUAGAGACCCCGGUAGUCCCUGUCUCUUAUAC
rnacentral:rRNA from 1 species